rnacentral:rRNA from 1 species
UACGUAGGUGGCAAGCGUUAUCCGGAUUUACUGGGUGUAAAGGGAGCGCAGACGGCAGUGCAAGUCUGGAGUGAAAGCCCGGGGCCCAACCCCGGAACUGCUCUGGAAACUGUGCGGCUAGAGUACUGGAGGGGCAGGCGGAAUUCCUAGUGUAGCGGUGAAAUGCGUAGAUAUUAGGAGGAACACCAGUGGCGAAGGCGGCCUGCUGGACAGUAACUGACGUUGAGGCUCGAAAGCGUGGAGAGCAAACAGG